rnacentral:misc_RNA from 1 species
CAGAGUUUUCUAAAUUCCCAACCCUAUGUGAACUUACCUUUGUUGCCUCGGCGGGGCCUACCCGGUACCGAUCCCUUUUGGGAGAGACUACCCUGUAGCCUGCCGGUGGAUUUUCAAACUCUUGUUAUUUUAAUGAUAUCUGAGCGUCUUAUUUUAAUAAGUCA